UAUAUGAGCCAUUUUUAUAACGAGGGUAUUUCAGUUACAAAUGACAAAGUUGAAGGGUGAACUGUUUUCAUGGCUGAAUUUCUCUCUUGUGCACCACAACGCCAUCAGAAUGACAAUAAUGGCGAAGAUGAAGGUGGUGAGGAGUGAAAUUGCUGCGAAACAAGUGGUUGUGAUCGAGGAAAAUGAGGAGAUACAUUGGUAUGCUUCUUGAAUUUCGUCCGGAGGACACAGCUACUCAAAUCCAAAUGCAAAGGAUCUUCAAGAGUAAAGGAAUAAAACAAGACCUUGGUUCAUUGUGAAAGGGCAGGCAAGAAAUCGAGGCAGGUGGCGAGAAGUAGGCGUGGUGGGGGACGGGCGACGGGAAUGGGGGUAGGGGGAAUGGGAGUGGGCGGGACGUAGGGUCAGGGCGGGGCGAGGACAGGGUUGGGGUCGGGGUCUAGAGGCACCAUGCAUGCCUUAGGGUCGGGGGGUUGGGCCGAGGAACUGUAUGUGCCUCAGGGUUGGGGGCCAGGGGGCGGCACCGAGGAACACGCGUGCCUCAUGGUCAUGGGUAGGGCGAACCCGAGGCUGUCUUGGGGUCAAGGUGUGGGCGGGGGAGGACCCGAGGAACACGCGUGCCUCGACGGUAGGGGGCGGCCCCGAGGCAUGCAAGUGCCUCAGGGUACAAAGAGGCAAAGGCCUGCCUUCGGGUCGUGGGGGGCGGCCCCGGGGCACGCG